CUAAGGACAUUGAGACGUGACUCCUAGGGCGGACGCGCCGAGGUUAUUCAAGGACCAGUGAUCUCCUGUUUACCUCAUAGGGUGACAUGGACAACUAGCGUUCCAUGCUCAUCAUGUAGCAAAUAGGAUUUCUCUAUGGCACGCGUGGUGACGUGAGGAGUUCUUCAUCAUGGGGUGUAUGGCGUGGGGCAAUCCUAUGGACGAUAAAACGAUCAACGUAGAACGCCAUUUAAAUUAUGUUUUGUUUUAAGGGACUUUUUCCUAAAUUAUCAGUGGGACUCUGUUAUUUAACUUAAUUGGUUUUCUUUGAACUUUGCAUAAAAACCUAUGUUUUAUUUAAA